rnacentral:rRNA from 1 species
ACGAACGCUGGCGGCGUGCUUAACACAUGCAAGUCGAACGGAAAGGCCCUGCUUGCCGGGUACUCGAGUGGCGAACGGGUGAGUAACACGUGGGUGAUCUGCCCUGCACUUCGGGAUAAGCCUGGGAAACUGGGUCUAAUACCGGAUAGGAGCCAUUUUUAGUGUGAUGGUUGGAAAGUUUUUUCGGUGUAGGAUGAGCUCGCGGCCUAUCAGCUUGUUGGUGGGGUAAUGGCCUACCAAGGCGGCGACGGGUAGCCGGCCUGAGAGGGUGGACGGCCACAUUGGGACUGAGAUACGGCCCAGACUCCUACGGGAGGCAGCAGUGGGGAAUAUUGCACAAUGGGCGCAAGCCUGAUGCAGCGACGCCGCGUGGGGGAUGACGGCCUUCGGGUUGUAAACGCCUUUCGCUAGGGACGAAGCUUUUUGUGACGGUACCUAGAUAAGAAGCACCGGCUAACUACGUG